GACGUAGGGCGCGAGCGUUGUCCGGAUUUAUUGGGCGUAAAGAGCUCGUAGGCGGUGUGUCGCGUCGGCCGUGAAAACCUGCAGCUUAACUGUGGGCUUGCGGUCGAUACGGGCAAGCUAGAAUUCGGUAGGGGAGACUGGAAUUCCUGGUGUAGCGGUGAAAUGCGCAGAUAUCAGGAGGAACACCGGUGGCGAAGGCGGGUCUCUGGGCCGAAAUUGACGCUGAGGAGCGAAAGCGUGGGGAGCAAACAGG
rnacentral:rRNA from 1 species